CAACCUGCCCUGGACUCUGGGAUAAGCGCUGGAAACGGCGUCUAAUACUGGAUAUGAGACGUGAUCGCAUGGUCGUGUUUGGAAAGAUUUUUCGGUCUGGGAUGGGCUCGCGGCCUAUCAGCUUGUUGGUGAGGUAAUGGCUCACCAAGGCGUCGACGGGUAGCCGGCCUGAGAGGGUGACCGGCCACACUGGGACUGAGACACGGCCCAGACUCCUACGGGAGGCAGCAGUGGGGAAUAUUGCACAAUGGGCGGAAGCCUGAUGCAGCAACGCCGCGUGAGGGAUGACGGCCUUCGGGUUGUAAACCUCUUUUAGCAGGGAAGAAGCGAAAGUGACGGUACCUGCAGAAAAAGCGCCGGCUAACUACGUGCCAGCAGCCGCGGUAAUACGUAGGGCGCAAGCGUUAUCCGGAAUUAUUGGGCGUAAAGAGCUCGUAGGCGGUUUGUCGCGUCUGCUGUGAAAUCCCGAGGCUCAACCUCGGGCCUGCAGUGGGUACGGGCAGACUAGAGUGCGGUAGGGGAGAUUGGAAUUCCUGGUGUAGCGGUGGAAUGCGCAGAUAUCAGGAGGAACACCGAUGGCGAAGGCAGAUCUCUGGGCCGUAACUGACGCUGAGGAGCGAAAGGGUGGGGAGCAAACAGGCUUAGAUACCCUGGUAGUCCACCCCGUAAACGUUGGGAACUAGUUGUGGGGACCAUUCCACGGUUUCCGUGACGCAGCUAACGCAUUAAGUUCCCCGCCUGGGGAGUACG
rnacentral:rRNA from 1 species